GAUCAUGGCUCAGGAUGAACGCUAGCUACAGGCUUAACACAUGCAAGUCGAGGGGAAACGGCAUCAAGCGCUUGCGCCUGAUGGACGUCGACCGGCGCACGGGUGAGUAACGCGUAUCCAACCUGCCCCACACUAAGGGAUAACCCGCAGAAAUGUGGACUAAUACCUUAUAUUUUCCACCAAGGGCAUCGUCGAUGGAACAAAGAUUUACGUACGU
rnacentral:rRNA from 1 species